CAUGCAGGACCCCCAGGCACACACAGCGCCACGUGCUAGAACAGCUAAGUUCCCCUGACGCCAGAUGCCACACUGGAGCUGGUGACGGAGCUGGUGCAGGCCCAGCCCUGCAUGCCACACAAGCCCGUGGCUGUCCCUUUAAGCCUCCCCCACACCCCUCGCCCCUCCUCACACCGCACCAGCAGCUCAUCCAGGGAGCUAAGUUUAGCUCCCUCCACUUCCAGUCUUGCCUCCAGGGACAGCCUGUGCUAGUGGGGCCCGCAAGGCUCUCUGAAGCCACCAGAGGCUUGCUUCGUAGCACAGAGGUCCUGACCUGGAUCAGCGGUGCACUCCCCGGAGGGCGGGGGAUCCUGCACACAGAGGUUUUUGGGGAAGGGGGGCGGCACCCCUCUGACAGGACUCUUCCUCGCCCCAGCACAGUCUGGCCUCACGGUCGGGACAAGGGUGGCCCGGUCAGUCCCCCACGGUCCGUGACUCAUCUGGGGACAGCUUGUUGUUUUGGGCCCAAAACAAGAACCUUUAAACGGAGCCACGACACGACACACACCUCACCGAUCGGCUCCCUCUGCCACCUGGACCUCAGGUCGGGGUCGUUCGGAGAAAGCCUGUGUGCACCUGAGCUGACGGGACGUCCCCUCCAUUCGGGACCAGAACCUGACCCGGAGCUGUCUCCAGGCCGGGUCAGACGCACACAGAGCAGGCCCUCAAACGGGACCUAUGGUCUCCCUGAAGCCAGGCCUCUGGCCACACACGGUCCUAAGAACGGCGGACAGAAUCUGGGACAGGAUCUGAGGGACUACAGGGGGAAAACGCAGUCAACGCUUGUCAGCCAGCGUGACCCAGGCCACGUGGCAGGAGCUCCCCUGCAGCCACUGGAGCGGCCCGCAUCCUCUUCCAGAACCAGUACCAGCUAACCCAGGUGAUCUCUACGGACAGAAAUAACACCCGCUCCACAGCGGACUUGCUUCCAAACCAGCCUCUCACCCGACACUCAGUGUAUCUUCACUUGAUUUGCAAUUUGGCAACUAGUGAUUGUCUUGUCGUGUAUGUGUGUGUAUACACACACACACACACACACACUUGAAUGUGAUAAAAAACAAAAAACCAAUCUCAGGAACAGUUGCCAGCACGGGCUACUGGAAAACAAAAAGACGAUCAGCGUUGUUGUAAUACAAGGCGGACACACAGCCGCUACAUGUUUCGCAUUCACGCCUUCGCACGCGCCUUCGGAUCUCGGGACAGCGCUGCUUCCAACCUGCUCCCAGCCGCGUUUCCCCACCAGUCAUACCGACAAACGCCAGAGCCCGGACCAAGGCGGCCCGUCCGGCUGCCCAGCAGUCCAGCCACGGCGGAGCUGACCACGGCCCGAGCCCCGUCCCGCACCCCAGGGGCCGCCUCUCCCGUCAGUCCCCUCGCACGGAGCUUGGUAGGCGGAGAAAUCUGUGAACGUGCCCCCAAUACCGACCCAAGACGCCAAAAUCUCUGGCUCUGGGGCUGAGGCGGCUGACAGAUUUCAUUUUCAGGAGGAGUUAGACGGGCCGAGCAGGCGCCCGGCCCAGUGCCCCACCGGCACCGGAUGGAGGAUCACAAGUGGGGUGUGCGGCCGGCUCACGGAGGCUGCUCCCUCGGCCGGAUAACGGCACCGAACCGGCCCUGCGGUGCCGGGCGCUGCGCCACGCACUUGACGCGCAUUAUCUCACUUAAUCCAAACGCAGUUGUCCCCAUUCUCCUGCUGGAAGAAACCAAAGCUCACAGGUUCACUUGCCCAAGCGGUCGAAACCGCCGCUCAGCUCAGAAGGCUGAGCUCUUAAGCCACACGCAGGGCCCUGACCAGAGACCGCGAACCAAGCUUUAUAUUUAAGAGUUAAGUCCCAACGUGCUUGCGAAAAAUGAAAUUAAAAAAUCGGAACAAGGACAGUAGUCUCAUUCGUCAUAUGACCUGACUGUCAAGGAGACAGGGCUCAGAGCAGCCAGACGACGAGGGGACAGACCAUCUGGACCGGGCAGCACUCUGAGGCCAACCGCCUGCCCCUGGACGGCGGAGGGGAGCCGGGGCCAAGGGGUCAGGGUGCCCUUUGGCGGGAUGUUUGCCGGCCUCCCCACCCCCCCCCCUCGGCUCAACAAAGCCCGCCUGGGGCUCAACAAAAGGGAAAGAGGAGUGCUCAGAGCAGCCUUCCUCCUGCCAAAGCCUGACUCAUCGGCCGUGCUCCAGCCUGGCUCUCCGAGCAAAAGGCCGGCUCUGCUCGUGGAGCCAACCAGAGCCGGGGCUGGCCCGGAGGAGAGGGAAGCAGGGCAGGAGGCCAAAGGCAGGGACGCCCCAGACGCUCGGGCCGGCGAGCCAGGGCUCUGGCUCCUCAUAAAGGGCCCUUGUGCGUUAGGCCCGGGCCGCCAGGCCCUGUAGGCCUGGGGUCCGGGGGCUCUGGGGCCGCCGGAGCACUGACUCGGCACCCACGCUCCACACGAACUCUGACCUUGUCCCACGAGAGACCAGACAGCUCUGAGGAGACGGACCACCGCCUCCAAAAGCCUCUCUCCUUCCAGAAUCGCUGGAAAAGUCUCUGCUGACAACAUUUGCAGGAUUUCACGAGGCCCCACCUCCACCACCAAAAGCCCAACACAACACAGCGUGGCAGAAAUGCCAAAGCCGUGCCUUCAAGAACCAGGGCGAGACCUGGGACCUCACCAGCCAAGUGCCACCUACCAGAGUGUUCUCUUCACGCCCACGGAUGCGCAUAAACCCCAAUUCAGGCUACUUUUGGGGGACCUCCUUAGAACAACAACGGGGGUUUGCUCAGGAACAGGGCCAGGGGAAACGUAAGCCACCCACAGCCUGAGCGCCUCCUGGACAAAGGGGACAUUUGAAAGGUGUCAAUAAAGUGCUUCUCCAAGCAA